ensembl:snoRNA
AUCCUUCAGGUUCUUACACAUGAUGAGUGGGUGGUCACGCGUCUGCGUGAAAUGUGCCGUCCCAAUUGUUACGACGGGGCGCAGUACCCAUCUGAUC